GACGAACGCUGGCGGCGUGCCUAAUACAUGCAAGUAGAACGCACAGUAUAUACCGUAGCUUGCUACACCAUAGACUGUGAGUUGCGAACGGGUGAGUAACGCGUAGGUAACCUGCCUGGUAGCGGGGGAUAACUAUUGGAAACGAUAGCUAAUACCGCAUAAUAUUAAUUAUUGCAUGAUAAUUGAUUGAAAGAUGCAACUGCAUCACUACCAGAUGGACCUGCGUUGUAUUAGCUAGUAGGUGAGGUAACGGCUCACCUAGGCGACGAUACAUAGCCGACCUGAGAGGGUGAUCGGCCACACUGGGACUGAGACACGGCCCAGACUCCUACGGGAGGCAGCAGUAGGGAAUCUUCGGCAAUGGACGAAAGUCUGACCGAGCAACGCCGCGUGAGUGAAGAAGGUUUUCGGAUCGUAAAGCUCUGUUGUAAGAGAAGAACGGGUGUGAGAGUGGAAAGUUCAC
rnacentral:rRNA from 1 species